UAUUGUUUAUUUGACAACAUUGGCUGUGAAGUAUUCUCAUUUAAAUCACUGAUUUAGCUGUGGUAUCGUUGUAUCCGAAUUCGAAUCCGAUAUAAAUACUCGUGACAAGCAUGGUUCGGUAGCAGCGAAUGCUAUGCUAUCGUCCAUAAACGUUGCAUACUAUUCAGAAAUCAGCAACGUUUAAGACGGUUUGUAGGUCGAGGGUAAAGUUUGCAGCGAAGGCUUUGCCGAUUAUUUUACUGUGAGGUUAACAUUACCAAAGUACAUUGUUAAGUUGGAUGUUAAGGUGUCAGCUGGCAUGGUAAGAGGCAUGAAAUCGCGGCCACUCUGCUUCGUUGUGGUGACACACGCAUCGGAUUAAACUGUGCAUGUAAACGUACUAGUACGUCUAAUCUAACUAGUAUGUUUACAUGCAUGGCAUAUCAGAGAAUUCUGUCAGUUCGGUCGCGGCGCAACGAAUGAAUAAAGAUCGUUAGCACUCUGAAAAACAGAUGACAGAUGUGCCCUUAGUUACUACUUUAUUACCUCGUUGAUGACCAACGUUUAGGAAAACAUGUACUUUUAAUUCACCCUUGGGUGAAACCGAAGCGUAGUGUGUACUGAAUGCGUGUUGAUGAUGAUGCAUAUGAAUUGCAACUUACACGUCUUCCAAACCUUUUCAGUACCCUGGCACAUGCUUUGUCCAAUGGACCAUGGAAGGGACUUUACUUGGCUGACGAGGACGCACCUCACCAGUAUCAGAGCAACAGCUGUGGGGUGUUUAUGCUGAUGGUGAGAUGCAUUAUUUUCAGAAAUGAUGACUGAUGACUAGUUUGUAAAACAACUAACUCAUUUGUAUGUUAAUUUCAGUACGCAAUGUAUUCUACCCUCAAAAGCAAUAUGAUUUCAGUGAGGGGGACAUGCUCUCUAUCAGGAGGUGGUGGUUGGACAGCUGUUGGAGACCUUUAUGCUUGAAAGGUUUAUAUACUGUGUCCAUGUUGCUAUUUACUUAUUUUUGGUGCUCACGAAGAUCGUAGCCAAUACACUUGUCUCUCUGUCUCUAGCCCUGCAGAACUAGCUGGCUCCUUCUCACCCUCUCCAUCUCCCCAUCUCAGUCACACCUUCCAAUCACUAAGCAGUGAAAGGUAUUACAUACUAUGUCCAUACUUUUCUAUUUACGUAUAUUCUCUCUUGCUCUUUCUCAGACUUUUGAUCGAUCAGUGACUGCCUUUUUGUUUAAUGGUGUGGGUAGUGUUGGUCUGGGCUUGUGUGAUUGAAUUGAAGGUUGAUUAUAAUCCCUGUUUCUCUCCCUCUCUCUCGCUCUCCUUCACUCUUUUUCGGCUCUCUCGCUCUCUCUA